rnacentral:rRNA from 1 species
AACGCGAAGAACCUUACCUGGGCUCGAACGGCUUCGGACAAUCCUUGGAAACAGGGACUUCCCGCAAGGGACUGGAGUCGAGGUGCUGCAUGGCUGUCGUCAGCUCGUGCCGUGAGGUGUUGGGUUAAGUCCCGCAACGAGCGCAACCCUUACUCGUAGUUGCUACCCGCAAGGGAGAACUCUACGAGGACUGCUCCGGAUAACGGAGAGGAAGGUGGGGAUGACGUCAAGUCAGCACGGCCUUUAUGUCCAGGGCUACACACGUGUUACAAUGCACGGUACAGACUGUUGCGAACCCGCGAGGGGGAGCUAAUCGGAUAAAACCGUGCUCAGUUCGGAUUGCAGUCUGCAACUCGGCUGCAUGAAGCUGGAAUCGCUAGUAAUGGCGUAUCAGAUCGACGCCGUGAAUACGUUCCCGGGCCUUGUACACACCGCGCAUA